GCCCCCAUAGUUCAAUGGAUAGAACGUGAGUUUCCGGAACUUAAGAUGUAGGUUCGAUUCCUACUAGGGGCACCA
rnacentral:tRNA from 1 species